GACGUAGGGUCCAAGCGUUGUCCGGAUUUACUGGGCGUAAAGAGCGCGUAGGCGGCUCGUUAAGUGUGAAGUGAAAUCUCCAGGGCUCAACCCGGAAACUGCUUUACAUACUGGCGAGCUGGAGUGAUGAAGAGGUUUGUGGAAUUCCUGGUGUAGCGGUGAAAUGCGUUGAUAUCAGGAGGAACACCCAUGGCGAAGGCAGCAAACUGGUCAUCAACUGACGCUGAGGCGCGAAAGCGUGGGUAGCAAACAGG
rnacentral:rRNA from 2 species